rnacentral:rRNA from 1 species
UACGUAGGGUGCGAGCGUUGUCCGGAAUUAUUGGGCGUAAAGAGCUUGUAGGCGGUUUGUCGCGUCUGCUGUGAAAUUUCGGGGCUCAACCCCGAACUUGCAGUGGGUACGGGCAGACUAGAGUGUGGUAGGGGAGACUGGAAUUCCUGGUGUAGCGGUGAAAUGCGCAGAUAUCAGGAGGAACACCGAUGGCGAAGGCGGGUCUCUGGGCCAUAACUGACGCUGAGGAGCGAAAGCGUGGGGAGCGAACAGG